UACAGAGGGGGCAAGCGUUAUUCGGAAUUAUUGGGCGUAAAGGGCGCGUAGGCGGCUAUGCAAGUGACGGGUGAAAUCCCUCGGCUUAACCGAGGAACUGCCUGUCAGACUGUGUGGCUUGAGACCGGGAGAGGUGAGUGGAAUUCCCAGUGUAGCGGUGAAAUGCGUAGAUAUUGGGAGGAACACCAGUGGCGAAGGCGGCUCACUGGACCGGAACUGACGCUGAGGCGCGAAAGCGUGGGGAGCAAACAGG
rnacentral:rRNA from 1 species